AUUGAACGCUGGCGGCAGGCCUAACACAUGCAAGUCGAGCGGAUGAAGGGAGCUUGCUCCUGGAUUCAGCGGCGGACGGGUGAGUAAUGCCUAGGAAUCUGCCUGGUAGUGGGGGAUAACGUCCGGAAACGGGCGCUAAUACCGCAUACGUCCUGAGGGAGAAAGUGGGGGAUCUUCGGACCUCACGCUAUCAGAUGAGCCUAGGUCGGAUUAGCUAGUUGGUGGGGUAAAGGCCUACCAAGGCGGCGAUCCGUAACUGGUCUGAGAGUAUGAUCAGUCACACUGGAACUGAGACACGGUCCAGACUCCUACGGGAGGCAGCAGUGGGGAAUAUUGGACAAUGGGCGAAAGCCUGAUCCAGCCAUGCCGCGUGUGUGAAGAAGGUCUUCGGAUUGUAAAGCACUUUAAGUUGGGAGGAAGGGCAGUAAGUUAAUACCUUGCUGUUUUGACGUUACCAACAGAAUAAGCACCGGCUAACUUCGUG
rnacentral:rRNA from 1 species